rnacentral:sRNA from 1 species
GCAUUUCCAUAACGGGGAAGGAUGAGAAGCUUCGACUAAGGUUCGAUUCGAGCGUAGCGAGAAAGCGUUGCCGCAGGCAACGACCCGAAGGGCGAGGCGCAACGCGCCGAGUAAUCCUUCCCCCACCACCA